AGAAAAUUUACUUGAAUUGCAAAGUCAAAAUCUUCAAAACACAAUUGGGAGAUCAAUAAUUGCUAGAGUUGCAAAUUAAUCUCCAAAGUUCCAAAGCAAAAAUAGAAUAAUAAUGUCUAACCCCCAAAAACGAGGUUUACAAGCCCUAUUUAUAGAAAACAACUCCUAAAUAAAAAGGGAAACGAAUUAAGGAAAGUUUUGUUCAGG
rnacentral:lncRNA from 1 species